rnacentral:pre_miRNA from 1 species
UAUCUACUCCCUCCGUCCAACAAAAAAGAUGUCUCAAGUUUGUCAAAAUUUGGAUGUAUUUAGACAUGACUAAAUAUAUAGAUGCAUUCAAGUUUGGUCAAACUUGAGACAUCCUUUGUUGGAUGUUGGAAGUACUAU